rnacentral:rRNA from 1 species
AGUGAACGCUGGCGGUAGGCCUAACACAUGCAAGUCGAACGGCAGCACAGUAAGAGCUUGCUCUUACGGGUGGCGAGUGGCGGACGGGUGAGGAAUACACCGGAAUCUACUUUUUCGUGGGGGAUAACGUAGGGAAACUUACGCUAAUACCGCAUACGACCUACGGGUGAAAGCAGGGGAUCUUCGGACCUUGCGCGAUUGAAUGAGCCGAUGUCGGAUUAGCUAGUUGGCGGGGUAAAGGCCCACCAAGGCGACGAUCCGUAGCUGGUCUGAGAGGAUGAUCAGCCACACUGGAACUGAGACACGGUCCCGACUCCUACGGGAGGCAGCAGUGGGGAAUAUUGGACAAUGGGCGCAAGCCUGAUCCAGCCAUACCGCGUGGGUGAAGAAGGCCUUCGGGUUGUAAAGCCCUUUUGUUGGGAAAGAAAAGCAGCAGGUUAAUACCCCGCUGUUCUGACGGUACCCAAAGAAUAAGCACCGGCUAACUUCGUG